rnacentral:rRNA from 1 species
GAGCUUGCUCUCGGGUGACGAGCGGCGGACGGGUGAGUAAUGUCUGGGAAACUGCUGAUGGAGGGGGAUAACUACUGGAAACGGUAGCUAAUACCGCAUAACGUCGCAAGACCAAAGUGGGGGACCUUCGGGCCUCAUGCCAUCAGAUGUGCCCAGAUGGGAUUAGCUAGUAGGUGGGGUAACGGCUCACCUAGGCGACGAUCCCUAGCUGGUCUGAGAGGAUGACCAGCCACACUGGAACUGAGACACGGUCCAGACUCCUACGGGAGGCAGCAGUGGGGAAUAUUGCACAAUGGGCGCAAGCCUGAUGCAGCCAUGCCGCGUGUGUGAAGAAGGCCUUCGGGUUGUAAAGCACUUUCAGCGGGGAGGAAGGCGUUAAGGUUAAUAACCUUGUCGAUUGACGUUACCCGCAGAAGAAGCACCGGCUAACUCCGUGCCAGCAGCCGCGGUAAUACGGAGGGUGCAAGCGUUAAUCGGAAUUACUGGGCGUAAAGCGCACGCAGGCGGUCUGUCAAGUCGGAUGUGAAAUCCCCGGGCUCAACCUGGGAACUGCAUUCGAAACUGGCAGGCUAGAGUCUUGUAGAGGGGGGUAGAAUUCCAGGUGUAGCGGUGAAAUGCGUAGAGAUCUGGAGGAAUACCGGUGGCGAAGGCGGCCCCCUGGACAAAGACUGACGCUCAGGUGCGAAAGCGUGGGGAGCAAACAGGAUUAGAUACCCUGGUAGUCCACGCCGUAAACGAUGUCGAUUUGGAGGUUGUGCCCUUGAGGCGUGGCUUCCGGAGCUAACGCGUUAAAUCGACCGCCUGGGGAGUACGGCCGCAAGGUUAAAACUCAAAUGAAUUGACGGGGGCCCGCACAAGCGGUGGAGCAUGUGGUUUAAUUCGAUGCAACGCGAAGAACCUUACCUGGUCUUGACAUCCACAGAACUUUCCAGAGAUGGAUUGGUGCCUUCGGGAACUGUGAGACAGGUGCUGCAUGGCUGUCGUCAGCUCGUGUUGUGAAAUGUUGGGUUAAGUCCCGCAACGAGCGCAACCCUUAUCCUUUGUUGCCAGCGGUUAGGCCGGGAACUCAAAGGAGACUGCCAGUGAUAAACUGGAGGAAGGUGGGGAUGACGUCAAGUCAUCAUGGCCCUUACGACCAGGGCUACACACGUGCUACAAUGGCAUAUACAAAGAGAAGCGACCUCGCGAGAGCAAGCGGACCUCAUAAAGUAUGUCGUAGUCCGGAUUGGAGUCUGCAACUCGACUCCAUGAAGUCGGAAUCGCUAGUAAUCGUAGAUCAGAAUGCUACGGUGAAUACGUUCCCGGGCCUUGUACACACCGCCCGUCACACCAUGGGAGUGGGUUGCAAAAGAAGUAGGUAGCUUAACCUUCGGGAGGGCGCUUACCACUUUGUGAUUCAUGACUGGGGUGAG